AGUGAACGCUGGCGGUAGGCCUAACACAUGCAAGUCGAACGGCAGCACAGUAAGAGCUUGCUCUUACGGGUGGCGAGUGGCGGACGGGUGAGGAAUACAUCGUAAUCUACUUUUUCGUGGGGGAUAACGUAGGUAAACUUACGCUAAUACCGCAUACGACCUACGGGUGAAAGCAGGGGAUCUUCUGACCUUGCGCGAUUGAAUGAGCCGAUGUCGGAUUAGCUGGUUGGCGGGGUAAAGGCCCACCAAGGCGACGAUCCGUAGCUGGUCUGAGAGGAUGAUCAGCGACACUGGAACUGAGACACGGUCCAGACUCCUACGGGAGGCAGCAGUGGGGAAUAUUGGACAAUGGGCGCAAGCCUGAUCCAGCCAUACCGCGUGGGUGAAGAAGGCCUUCGGGUUGUAAAGCCCUUUUGUUGGGAAAGAAAAGCAGCAGGUUAAUACCCAGCUGUUCUGACGGUACCCAAAGAAUAAGCACCGGCUAACUUCGUG
rnacentral:rRNA from 1 species